AGCGAACGCUGGCGGCAGGCUUAACACAUGCAAGUCGAGCGGGCAUCCUUGUGGUGUCAGCGGCAGACGGGUGAGUAACGCGUGGGAACGUGCCCUUCGGUUCGGAAUAACUCAGGGAAACUUGAGCUAAUACCGGAUACGUGCGAGAGCAGAAAGGUUUAUCUGCCGAAGGAUCGGCCCGCGUCUGAUUAGCUAGUUGGUGAGGUUACGGCUCACCAAGGCGACGAUCAGUAGCUGGUCUGAGAGGAUGAUCAGCCACACUGGGACUGAGACACAGCCCAGACUCCUACGGGAGGCAGCAGUGGGGAAUAUUGGACAAUGGGGGCAACCCUGAUCCAGCCAUGCCGGGUGAGUGAUGACGGCCUUAGGGUUGUAAAGCUCUUUUCUCCGGGACGAUAAUGACGGUACCGGAGGAAUAAGCCCCGGCUAACUUCGUG
rnacentral:rRNA from 1 species